CAUGUAGGCGGGCUUUUAAGUCUGACGUGAAAAUGCGGGGCUUAACCCCGUAUGGCGUUGGAUACUGGAAGUCUUGAGCGCAGGAGAGGAAAGGGGAAUUCCCAGUGUAGCGGUGAAAUGCGUAGAUAUUGGGAGGAACACCAGUGGCGAAGGCGCCUUUCUGGACUGUGUCUGACGCUGAGAUGCGAAAAGCAGGGUAGCAAAC
rnacentral:rRNA from 1 species